rnacentral:lncRNA from 1 species
AAGUCCUUUUUCGACCACAGCGCGAAGUUGUUUAAAUCCCAUGAAGCUGCAGGCAGCUAUAGUGUAGAACAGCACUAUAGGGACUCCGAUUUCUUCAGCAGCUGUGAUUGUGAACGCGGACAUGAAACCAUCUGAAACUAUGCAAGUCACAGGAGGAUUGCUGGAUGUUGAUAUGGCAUCAUUGUUGAGUUUUGCAAGGAGGGCAAGAAAGGGAGCCAAGAAAUUUUGUUUUCUGAUGGAUUCACAAAGCAAGGUGACAUCUUGUGUGGCAUCUUCAUCUGAAUCCGGAAGGCUAUCCGGGAUGGCUUCGAAUUGAAAAUCAGGCAAGCCAUCAAGGGCAUUGGGUCCUAGAGAUUUAAGAAAGCGCUUGUGAUUGAACUCUGUGUUAACGAAGGUUAUAUGAAAACCUCUGUGGUGGAGGAGCUUUGCAAAUUUAAGCAUUGCCUUGAUAUGACUUUGAGCAGGAACUGGAAUGCAAACAGCAUGUGGCUUAGCUACUACUUCUUUUGAAUCCAUCUUAGCUUUUGUGUGUGCAUUGCAGUGCUUGCAAAUGCAGAUUAUUUAUAAAGCAAAACUGAGCUACUUUUCAAUGUGUCCUGUUUUGGCUCUC